UACGGGGGGUGCGAGCGUUGUCCGGAAUCACUGGGCGUAAAGGGCGCGUAGGUGGUUUGAUAAGGGUGUGGUGAAAGUCCGGGGCUCAACUCCGGAUCUGCCGUGCCGACUGUCAAACUCGAGGGCUGUAGAGGCAGACGGAAUUCCGGGUGUAGCGGUGGAAUGCGUAGAGAUCCGGAGGAAGACCGGUGGCGAAGGCGGUCUGCUGGGCAGUUUCUGACACUGAGGCGCGAAAGCGUGGGGAGCGAUCCGG
rnacentral:rRNA from 1 species